CACAUGGUUACAUUUCUUCCUUGCUAUAUAAGCACCUAAUUUUAGUCACGUGAGACGGAUUUGAGACUGAUCUGCCAUUCUCCUUGGCUGCAACACUUGAAUAAAGCCUUCUUUUCUGGCGAUACUCACUGUUCCAGUAAUCAGCUUUCUAUGUGGCAAGCAAAAGUACCUGGACCAAACCCCUGGCAUUUCGGAAAAAAAACAAGUUACUUUUAAUGCCGUCAUCAUCAUUAUCAUUACUAUCAACAACAACAAAACAAUAAGGACAAUAAACAGGAAUUGGACACCUCUGCAGUCCUUGAGGGAAGCAACAAUAUUAAAGAAGGAUUUGAUGAAGAAUCUGAAAUAGACACGGGAGCUUGAUGCUGCCACAAAUAUCAAAGCAGGCCGAUCCUCUGAGAAACCACAUUGAGAUCCAUCAAGGCAGCAGGGGACACAGAGAGCAGAGAGGAGUAAAACUGGGCACCAGCCCAUCUGGGCUCAGCAUGAAGCCAGGAGACUCUCUCCAAUGUGGGAAAGGCCUGUUCAUCCUUGAGUAGAAGCAACAGAAGAUAAUACCCAAAUGCUGACUGCCGUUGUGGAAAAAACUCACCCAUAUCCUGCCUGUAGUUAACGGCAGAGGUACUGCAUCCUGCAGUGUUGGAAUGGUCUAAGGAGGCUGCUGAGUUGGAUCUCACUGGCUUACAUGUUCAUCUAAACCUCUUUCCUAUGGAUUCAUGCGUAUGCCUGGUUUUUGUCUAAUGCCAGAUCUGAGGUAGAGUGAAUGUGUGCCCUUCCCCAUUACAAACACUUGGAUUGAUAUCUUCUCUUGGGUUAGAGAAUAGAAUUUCCUUCUGAGGAUAAAGUGGACAGUGUGCAUUAGAUCUAUCCCAUGAAGUUCCUGCUGGUUAUGGUGAAUGGGAACCAACCUCACUAGGGUGAAAGUUAAAAUUCACCACUGAUUGAAUUAGAACAAUUGUUCAUGCUGUUCAAGAGCAGAGAACAGUCUGAUAUCUAAAGAGUUUAGUUAAGCCCCAAGGAGCAAUUUUUCUCUCCUGUUCUAAGUUUUCCUCUUGAGUUUUUCCCCUGUGGGAAUUAUUAUCGUGUUUGCAACAUUGAAAGUUUUGAUUGACAUUUCCUACACUUGCAGGUUUUUAACACAAACUUCAGUUUGAUGACAAUAUAACCAAAUCCCAGGGACAUGAAUAAAACACUCCUUUUAAAUUUUUA
rnacentral:lncRNA from 1 species